rnacentral:rRNA from 1 species
AUGGCGGAGGCGAUCGACCUGUACCGGCACUCGGCGAUCGGCGUGGCCCUCAUCGAGACGCUGAACGAGAUGGUGGCCAGCGGCGCGCUCAGCCCCGAGCUCGCCAUGGCCGUGAUCAUGCAGUUCGACAAGUCCAUGUGCCACGCGCUGGACAAGCAUGUCGAGAGCAGGGCCACCUUCAAGGGCGGCAAUCUGCGCACAUACAGGUUCUGCGACAGCAUCUGGACUCUCAACCUGAGAAACACAACAUUCAUGAACGAGGAGAUCGAAACAGUCCUCCCCAAGGUGAAGAUCGUGGCCUAUGAUAUGAGACUGAUUGAGGAGCCUGUAGUACCUAUCACUUGCCAGCAGUGCCAGUAG